UACGCUCCUGAAAGCAGCAGGUUUGGGCGGGGAGGGGCUGCUUCUGUUCCACCCUGAGCUGCCUUAACCAGAAGACCCCAAAGAUGACGAGGACAGACGAGCUGCUGCUCCCCGGCCCUAACGGGCCAUCGGGCGCCCCUGCUGACCACGGCCGCUCGGGACACGGGCUGCGGCCGAGUCUCCCGCCCAGGCCCCAGCCCGGGACGCCUCUUCCGCCGGCCCGUCUUCGUUCCGAUGCUCCGUUUGAGCCACUCUUGCUCACCAGGCCUGCCCAGCCGCCCCCGACGCGUGGCGGCUCCUUGUGGCGGAAGUUCUUGGGAUCUGAAGAUUGUUGUCAAUGGAGAUGGACCGGGCGGGGGUUCCCAUGGGACCUCCCUUUGGAACGGGGGGGUACCCCGUUGGCUCCCACAGCGGUGGCGGGGGAAGGGCCGCCCCAUCUUCUCCUCAGCGUCGGGCCCCUGCCAGGAGAGGGCAGCGCUCGGGCACCGGAGGCCCCCUCGGUUUGGCUGCUCGCGGCCGUGUUCUGUUCCUGCCGAGGCUCCCUGGGACCUCCGGCGCCGAGCUGGCGGGGUGCUGAGAGCGAGGCCUUCCCCUCGGCGCCCCCCGGGAGUGGCCCUCCGACUUCAGAAAGGGGGGGCUGGGGGUCACCCCUCAAGGGCCCGCCUGCCCCUCCCCCGGGGAAUGAGCAUCCAGGGCAGGGAGGUCCGGCCUCUGGCACAGCUUCAGGGCUUCCCCCCGGCGCGGCUGCCCGCCUGAUUCUAAAGUGCCUUUUGGACGGUUGUGGUUUUGUUAAACCCAGAAUUGCACAAAAAUAAACGUGAACGGCCAUCGCCCGCCUGACCCGUGUGUUUGCCCGCGUCCGUCUGUCCCCGGGACGCACUCCUAGGAACGGCCACUUGGGGCCCCUCGGGGUUUGCCCAGGGAGGGAGGGCAGGGGCGUGCGUGGCAUCAACACGGCAGGUUCCAGGCAAGCUGGGCAAGGCCCCUACCCACUUCUUGCCUCAGUUUCCUCCUUUGUAAAAAGGCGGCCAUGAUACACGCCCGGGGGGAUCCCCUUUUUGAACAGGGACGUCCAUCCCAGGACUCGCACCCAGGGCAGCUCCUGGUCUUUCCCCUCCUUUACGGCUCCAAGUCCCAGAGCACCUGCUGCCUCCUGCUGUGCCCAGGCAGGGGCCCCCUUGGGGAGGGGGAGGACGGGCAUUGCCUGCCCUGAGCUUGUGCCCGGGGGCCACAAGCAGGGAGAAUGUCCCCCACUCAGCUGCCAGGGUAGGUGGGCAGCAGCUGCCCCCUGCGGGAAAAGGCUCACCAAAGGAGGCCGGGUUACCACCGCAGGCAUCAGGAGGGGCAGCCUCGGUGCCGGGUGGGGGGCCGCCUGCCUCCCGUCCCUCCUCAGUGGUGGCCACCAGCACGGAAGGGGCAGCCCGGCCAGGCCGUGUGCCGGCUGGGGCUGUCAUCCACGAGAGCCUGGAGCCGAGGCGGUCACGUCCAGGGUCCCCGGAGCAGCUCCGCUUGGCAGAUUAUCUUCUCCAGCCACUGAAGCAAAUGGGCCAAGGGACUCGCUCAGGGUCUCACUGCUUGUCUCUGUCUGAAGCAGGACUUGAAUUCGCAUCUACCAACUCCCAGCCAUCCGGCAGCCCCUCCGGCCCCACGACAGCACCUAGAGGUGAAGACCUGUCUGUGAGCCUCGUGGUCUCCUGCCAAGGGGGACCCGGACUUUCCCGGCUGGAGAGAGCUUGGGUUCCGGGAGGGCACGAAUUCCCCAACUGCCUGUGGAUGGGCCAAAGCCUGGGCUGGGAAAAGAGCUGCCCUCCCGGG
rnacentral:lncRNA from 1 species